rnacentral:rRNA from 1 species
GGUAGAAGGACUUACUCUUCGGAGUGAGAGCGUACACAGGUGCUGCAUGGCUGUCGUCAGCUCGUGUCGUGAGAUGUGGGUUAAGUCCCGCAACGAGCGCAACCCUGCAUUCAGUUGCCAUCGGUAAGGCCGGGCACUCUGGAUGGACUGCCGGCGACAAGCCGGAGGAAGGUGGGGACGACGUCAAGUCAUCAUGGCCCUUAUGUCCAGGGCGACACACGUGCUACAAUGGCCGGCACAACGGGAAGCGAAGGGGCGACCCUGAGCGGAUCCCACAAAAGCCGGUCUCAGUUCGGAUUGCAGUCUGCAACUCGACUGCAUGAAGUUGGAAUCGCUAGUAAUCGUGGAUCAGCCAAGCCGCGGUGAAUACGUUCCCGGGCCUU